CCUAACACAUGCAAGUCGAACGAGACCUUCGGGUCUAGUGGCGCACGGGUGCGUAACGCGUGGGAAUCUGCCCUUGGGUUCGGAAUAACUUCGGGAAACUGAAGCUAAUACCGGAUGAUGACGUAAGUCCAAAGAUUUAUCGCCCAAGGAUGAGCCCGCGUAGGAUUAGCUAGUUGGUGAGGUAAAGGCUCACCAAGGCGACGAUCCUUAGCUGGUCUGAGAGGAUGAUCAGCCACACUGGGACUGAGACACGGCCCAGACUCCUACGGGAGGCAGCAGUGGGGAAUAUUGGACAAUGGGCGAAAGCCUGAUCCAGCAAUGCCGCGUGAGUGAUGAAGGCCUUAGGGUUGUAAAGCUCUUUUACCCGGGAUGAUAAUGACAGUACCCGGAGAAUAAGCUCCGGCUAACUCCGUGCCAGCAGCCGCGGUAAUACGGAGGGAGCUAGCGUUGUUCGGAAUUACUGGGCGUAAAGCGCACGUAGGCGGCUUUGUAAGUUAGAGGUGAAAGCCUGGAGCUCAACUCCAGAAUUGCCUUUGAUACUGCAUCGCUUGAAUUCAGGAGAGGUGAGUGGAAUUCCGAGUGUAGAGGUGAAAUUCGUAGAUAUUCGGAAGAACACCAGUGGCGAAGGC
rnacentral:rRNA from 1 species